AAACGUGCAUGUGGCAGGCAGCAGCGUUCACAAUCAGCGGCUAAUCGGCAAUAUUCUACAUUUUACACUAGUAUGGCAAGAACAUUUAGCAGCAUUGCGGUGGCAGCGUUGAACGAAUGUAUUUACUAGGGAAUUGACGGCAGUUGCGGCAUUUGUGCUGGCUGAGCGAGAUAAUACGAAUAUGUUCGUUGGUGUUAAAACAUUAGCAAGCAUUUGCAUUUGAUUUUCGGAAUUGGUUGGACGUUUGAUUUUU